rnacentral:siRNA from 1 species
AGGGGCCGAAUGCACUUUUAC